UGCCGUCUAGUGGUUGACCUAUAUAUAACCUGUUAUAAAUCAUCACAAUAUUAUCAAAAAAUAGAAUCAUACACACUUGGACAAAGUCUUAAAUGACAUAUUUUUCUUUUUAAUUACUCAACUGUCACCAUCCUUGUGACACUAACACACCUUUUUUUUUACAUUGUCCCAAAACACACACAUUGUUAUUUUGAUUUUUUUUUUAUGACAAGGAAAAUCCGUUUUGAGUGUGCACGGGUAAUAUCCAUGUAUACAAUAGCUUGUAAAUCGCACAUAUUUCGUUUUUAUAUAAUAAUUCGUAAAUCACACAAAAAAUUAAUCUACACUAAAUAAUUCCGAUGCGACGAGCUAGACCUUCAUCUUGACCUAGAAGGAACCCUAGCUAUUGCUGCCUUCUUUUAUCAUACAAAAAAAUUGAAAAACAAGAGGAGAAAGGGAGGUGAUAGAAAAUCCAUUAAAAUGUAAUCAAGUUAAUAAUUAACUCCAAAUAAAAUUAGAGGAUAGAUAAGAACAUAUAUUUAACAGAAAUGUCUCAGAUCUAUUAUUGUUUACUAAAAUAACAAAGAGUAUAUAUAUUUAUUCAGAAGACUUAAAAAAAAAAAACUAAAUAAUUAGUAAGAAGAAUAAUUUGUUUGAGCACCACCUCCAGAUUGCACUGGUGGCCUUGGAGGGCUUCUUCCUCUACUUGAGUUUCUCACCCUUAUAGACCUUGUUGUCAUGUACUCUAUAUUUUCCUGCAUCAAUAAUUUAAUAUUAUAUGAGGAAGCGUUCAACUAAAUUCAAUAUUUUAGUACGAAAAUAUUUAAGUUUAAUCUUAAAUAUACGAAGUUUAAAUCUUGAAUUCGCCUGAUCUAGAUUAAAUACCAUGGAUGUUAUAUCUUCCUCUUGUUGUUGUUGGUGAGAGUAUGAGGAGACAACAAAGUUGGAGAUGUGGUUAUUACCAUAUCCAAAAUAGUUUAGUGUGGAUUUGAUCAAUUUCUC
rnacentral:lncRNA from 1 species